GGGUUGUGAGGUUAAGCGAAUAAGCGUACACGGUGGAUGCCUAGGCAAUCAGAGGCGAUGAAGGACGUGCUAAUCUGCGAAAAGCGUCGGUAAGGUGAUAUGAACCGUUAUACCCGACGAUAUCCGAAUGGGGAAACCCAGUAUCCAAUGGAUACUAUCAUUAACUGAAUCCAUAGGUUAAUGAGGCGAACCGGGAGAACUGAAACAUCUCAGUACCCCGAGGAAAAGAAAUCAACCGAGAUUCCCCUAGUAGCGGCGAGCGAACGGGGAGCAGCCCAGAGUCUUAAUCAAUAGCAGUGUCAGGAGAACGGUCUGGAAAGUCCGGCAGUAAAGGGUGAUAGCCCCGUAUCUGAAGAUGCUGUUGUUGUGAACUCGACGAGUAGGGCGGGACACGUGUUAUCCUGUCUGAAUAUGGGGGGACCAUCCUCCAAGGCUAAAUACUCCUGAUUGACCGAUAGUGAACCAGUACCGUGAGGGAAAGGCGAAAAGAACCCCGGCGAGGGGAGUGAAAAAGAACCUGAAACCGUGUACGUACAAGCAGUAGGAGCCUCUUUAUGGGGUGACUGCGUACCUUUUGUAUAAUGGGUCAGCGACUUAUAUUCUGUAGCAAGGUUAACCGUAUAGGGGAGCCGUAGGGAAACCGAGUCUUAACUGGGCGAAUGAGUUGCAGGGUAUAGACCCGAAACCCGGUGAUCUAUCCAUGGGCAGGUUGAAGGUUGGGUAACACUAACUGGAGGACCGAACCGACUAAUGUUGAAAAAUUAGCGGAUGACUUGUGGAUGGGGGUGAAAGGCCAAUCAAACCGGGAGAUAGCUGGUUCUCCCCGAAAGCUAUUUAGGUAGCGCCUCGUGAACUCAUCUUCGGGGGUAGAGCACUGUUUCGACUAGGGGGUCAUCCCGACUUACCAACUCGAUGCAAACUGCGAAUACCGAAGAAUGUUAUCACGGGAGACACACGGCGGGUGCUAACGUCCGUCGUGAAGAGGGAAACAACCCAGACCGCCAGCUAAGGUCCCAAAGUCAUGGUUAAGUGGGAAACGAAGUGGGAAGGCUCAGACAGCCAGGAUGUUGGCUUAGAAGCAGCCAUCAUUUAAAGAAAGCGUAAUAGCUCACUGGUCGAGUCGGCCCGCGCGGAAGAUGUAACGGGGCUAAACCAUGCACCGAAGCUGCGGCAGCGACACAAAGUGUUGUUGGGUAGGGGAGCGUUCUGUAAGCCUGCGAAGGUGUACUGUGAGGUAUGCUGGAGGUAUCAGAAGUGCGAAUGCUGACAUAAGUAACGAUAAUGCGGGUGAAAAACCCGCACGCCGGAAGACCAAGGGUUCCUGUCCAACGUUAAUCGGGGCAGGGUGAGUCGACCCCUAAGGCGAGGCUGAAAAGCGUAGUCGAUGGGAAACGGGUUAAUAUUCCCGUACUGGUGGUAACUGCGAUGGGGGAACGGAGAAGGCUAGGUUGUCCGGGCGACGGUCGUCCCGGUUCAAGCAGGUAGGCAGAGUGAUUAGGCAAAUCCGGUCACUUAAUGCUGAGAUGUGAUGACGAACCACCAAGGUGGUGAAGCAAUUGAUGCCCCGCUUCCAGGAAAAGCCUCUAAGCUUCAGGUUACCAACAAUCGUACCCCAAACCGACACAGGUGGUCAGGUAGAGAAUACUCAGGCGCUUGAGAGAACUCGGGUGAAGGAACUAGGCAAAAUGGUGCCGUAACUUCGGGAGAAGGCACGCUGGCGGUAGGUAAAGUCCCUCGCGGACAGAGCUGAAGCCAGUCGAAGAUACCAGCUGGCUGCAACUGUUUAUUAAAAACACAGCACUGUGCAAACACGAAAGUGGACGUAUACGGUGUGACGCCUGCCCGGUGCUGGAAGGUUAAUUGAUGGGGUUAGCGUAAGCGAAGCUCCUGAUCGAAGCCCCAGUAAACGGCGGCCGUAACUAUAACGGUCCUAAGGUAGCGAAAUUCCUUGUCGGGUAAGUUCCGACCUGCACGAAUGGCGUAAUGAUGGCCAGGCUGUCUCCACCCGAGACUCAGUGAAAUUGAACUCGCUGUGAAGAUGCAGUGUACCCGCGGCAAGACGGAAAGACCCCGUGAACCUUUACUAUAGCUUGACACUGAACAUUGAGCCUUGAUGUGUAGGAUAGGUGGGAGGCUUUGAAGUGUGGACGCCAGUCUGCAUGGAGCCAACCUUGAAAUACCACCCUUUAACGUUUGAUGUUCUAACCUAGGCCCAUAAACUGGGUCGGGGACCGUGUCUGGUGGGUAGUUUGACUGGGGCGGUCUCCUCCUAAAGAGUAACGGAGGAGCACGAAGGUUGGCUAAGCAUGGUCGGACAUCAUGCGGUUAGUGCAAAGGCAUAAGCCAGCUUGACUGCGAGAGUGACGGCUCGAGCAGGUACGAAAGUAGGUCUUAGUGAUCCGGUGGUUCUGAAUGGAAGGGCCAUCGCUCAACGGAUAAAAGGUACUCCGGGGAUAACAGGCUGAUACCGCCCAAGAGUUCAUAUCGACGGCGGUGUUUGGCACCUCGAUGUCGGCUCAUCACAUCCUGGGGCUGAAGUAGGUCCCAAGGGUAUGGCUGUUCGCCAUUUAAAGUGGUACGCGAGCUGGGUUUAGAACGUCGUGAGACAGUUCGGUCCCUAUCUGCCGUGGGCGUUGGAAGAUUGAGAGGGGUUGCUCCUAGUACGAGAGGACCGGAGUGAACGCACCACUGGUGUUCGGGUUGUCAUGCCAAUGGCAUUGCCCGGUAGCUAAGUGCGGAAGAGAUAACCGCUGAAAGCAUCUAAGCGGGAAACUUGCCUCGAGAUGAGUCUUCCCUGUCGCUUUAAGCGACCUAAAGGAACGUUUAAGACUAAGACGUUGAUAGGCUGGGUGUGUAAGCGUAGCGAUACGUUGAGCUAACCAGUACUAAUGAACCGUGAGGCUUAACCUGACAACACCGAAAGUGUUUUG
rnacentral:rRNA from 1 species